rnacentral:rRNA from 1 species
GACGAACGCUGGCGGCGUGCUUAACACAUGCAAGUCGAACGAUGAACCCGGAGCUUGCUCUGGGGGAUUAGUGGCGAACGGGUGAGUAACACGUGAGUAACCUGCCCUGGACUCUGGGAUAAGCGUUGGAAACGACGUCUAAUACCGGAUAGGACCUUGGAUCGCAUGAUCUGGGGUGGAAAGUUUUUUCGGUCUGGGAUGGACUCGCGGCCUAUCAGCUUGUUGGUGAGGUAAUGGCUCACCAAGGCGUUGACGGGUAGCCGGCCUGAGAGGGUGACCGGCCAGACUGGGACGGAGACACGGACGAGACAGAUUCGUGAGGCAGGAGUCGGGAGGAUUGCACGAAGAGCGGAAGGCUGCUGGAGGAAGGCCGCGUGCGGGAGGGCGGCCGUCGGGUUGUAAGCCGCCUGCAGUAGGGAAGAAGGGAGUCUGCGUGACGGUACCUGGAGAAGAAGGACCGGCUAACUACGUG